UCCCCGGUAGCUCAACGGUAGAGCGGCGCCCUGUUAAGGCGAAGGUUGUAGGUUCGAAUCCUACCCGGGGAGCCA
rnacentral:tRNA from 1 species